GCUCUCGUGUACUAUCUUUCCUGAUUUGAAUCCCUUCCAGCUAGGAGUUCAUGUGAUGUGUAUAUUUUGUAUGGGCAUGUUAUUGGUGUCGUUUAGAUGUGUCUAUUGUUUAAUAUAAUCCACGGCUUGCCUCCUCUCUUACCUUGCACAUUUUAAAUUUUUGCAUUCAGGUAGGAAUGGAGACUGAAGGUUUGUCUUCUCAAUAAAAUGAGGUUUGUCUUCUCAAUAAAAUUAAACAUCACAUGACUAUAUUUUUGUAUAUCUGAUUAUCUUUUAUCAGUGAAAGUAUUAAUAUAACGAGACAAUUGUGGAAUGUCAAGGAACAAAGAAAAUGAGAAGAAUGAGGAUGUGAGUGUGACCACGGUAAUUAAUUGUAAGAUUCCAGCAGCAACUGUUGGGGUGUUGUAUUCAUAAAUUGUGCUGCUGGUAGCACAGUGAGUGACAGUACCUUUGAUGAAUGAAGCACGAUUCAACGUUUUAGAUAUAACUUCAGUCUUCAUCUGAAUAAGUUGUAUUCAAAUAAGGCCCAGUGGAUAAUAAGCUUUUCCCUCCCUCUCAGAAUCGUUUCAAAUCCUGAAUCCUGAAUCCUUGCCAAUUCUCUUCUUCACAGAUAUCUGAAUAUAUCUCAAGUCUUUGGAUUUUGCUUCCUAAGCAGAUAUGAAAGGAACAGUGUUGUCCAUGUUGUUAAGUUUUAAGUUUGUGGUUUUUGUCCUUGAAUCCUUAGCAGAUGUGAAAGUAUCCUGCUUAUAACUGUUGCACCAUGAUUCAGCAGCCUCUUGUUCCAUCAUCUGGGUUGAUGCCUGCGAGUGACGUUCCUGUUCGUGCAAAAUGCAAAGGAGGCUCUUUUACUUUGGCAGGAAGUUUUGAAUCAAUGGAUGGUAAAUGUUGGAGCUAAAACUGAACUGAUAGUUAAUAUCAACCAGUGGUACAUGAAGGAGUUGAUUCUAUAUACAGAGAGGAGUUGAUGAUUGUAGUUAGGCAUUGAUAGCACACAACAUGUGGUGUCGUUUUAUCAACUCAAUACAUGCAAAAUUUAGUGAUUUUUUCUCACUGCAAAUUUUAUGGUCUGUUCUUUAGUAUUUGAUCAAACAUGAAGCAAAUAAAUAAAAUGUCAUUGCAAAUAAAGUUUUGAUCGACUUUCUAUGUA